UGCAUCAGGGUCUGCCUCCCUCCACGUGUCUUGUAGCAGCGCAGUGCAGAAUCCAUCUUUAUUGAGUGCCGAUCCUAAAUAUAAAACAUCUUCAGUGAGAGGCUGUACUUCUCAUUUUGCUGCUGACUUUGGGAAGCAACAGAGCUGGCAGAGGGAGGAGCUCUGAAAAUCACCCCAUGUAGCAAGCCACAUGCUGUAAGUUCAGCCUGAAAUGCCAAAACUCCUGACCACCAUUCUGGGAGAAAACAUAAACAUUUAAAGAAAAGAGAACCCAAGAAAGCAGCAGCCUGGGAGUGGGAUUUUGCAGGUCAAGAGGUCCGUCACCAGAAGGAAGGAACCAGUCCUUUCUGAAGAGGACAUCAUUUGAGUCUCCUAACGGAAAACUCCACUCUACAGCACUUCAGAAAGCCUGCAGUUCCAGCUGUGUGGGAAGAUGAAGGCAUCCUCGGUGUGCUCCUGUUUCCAAGGGUGCAGUGGGAAGAUGUGCUUUUUCUGACAAUGCUAAAAGAGCAAGGCUGCAGGAAUGAAUUUGCUCCCUCUUCUGACGUUGUAUUUUCAUUGCCAAAAAGUUGGUUUGGUGCAGCAGAUUUCCACUAGGACCUUGCAGAAGAAGUAAGAUUAUAACAUAAUGAUUCUGUAACACCAAAUUUGGAGAACAGGUCUCAAAGGUAGUGGCAUAAAGCAAGACGAUGACAGCAUUUGAAGUACAAAAUGCACAGGACAUCUCAAAAAAAUGUUCUUGCAGCUAAGAGUAUUUGCAGCCCAAAUUUAAAUUUAGUGAAUUAUUUUAGUGAAAAGAAAUGAGGUUAGAGGAAGCUAUUGAUCCAGACAGAGAAGGAAUCAUUCUGUCUCAAAGUUUUCUAAAGGAGGUACAUGAAGGUGUGAAAUAUUUCUAAAGCAAAAGCACCUAGGGUAGUCACUUCUUAAAACUCUUCAGAACUGGCUCAGAUAGAGGCGAAGCCUGUGCAGGCAUGGAGAGCAGGGAGUGGAGGUAUUGAAUUUGGGGCUAAAAUGAAAUCUCUUUUCUUUAAUGUACAAAAGUAGAAAACAUGUUGUUUGUGUAAAGAAAAUUGUAACGGUCCAUCUGCCUGUCUUCAGAAAAAUCAAUUAAAGCAGAGAUUAUUAUCUCUUUUAAUUAGUGGAAUUCAAUGUGAAAUACCACUAAAAUGCUCCCUUGCUAAUUACAUGGCUUCAAAUCCCUUUCUU